CCUACGGGGGGCAGCAGUGGGGAAUAUUGUACAAUGGGAGAAACCCUGAUGCAGCGACGCCGCGUGAGCGAUGAAGUAUUUCGGUAUGUAAAGCUCUAUCAGCAGGGAAGAAAAUGCCGGUACCUGACUAAGAAGCCCCGGCUAACUACGUGCCAGCAGCCGCGGUAAGCCGUAGGGGGCAAGCGUUAUCCGGAUUUACUGGGUGUAAAGGGAGCGUAGACGGCUUGGCAAGCCAGAUGUGAAAGGCUGCGGCUCAACCCCAGGACGGCAGUUGGAACUGUGAAGCUAGAGUGUCGGAGAGGCAUGCGGAAUUCGUAGUGUAGCGGUGAAAUGCGUAGAUAUUAGGAGGAACACCAGUGGCGAAGGCGGCCUGCUGGACGAUGACUGACGCUGAGGCUCGAAAGCGUGGGGAGCAAACAGGAUUAGAUACCCUAGUAGUC
rnacentral:rRNA from 1 species